AUCCUUCUGGUUCUUAUAUAGGAUGACAGGGUAGUUCAUGUGUCUGUGUGAAAUGUGCAUCUGUCCUUGUUACGAUUUGGCACAUUACCCAUCUGAUU